rnacentral:lncRNA from 1 species
ACAUGCCUGGGAAAGUGAGAUCAUUAUUUCAAUCCUAAAAAUAACUUCUGCUAUUUGCAGAAAUGCAGGACUGUUUCAGAGUUAAUCAGGAAGUGGUAGAGUUUCAUUUGCUUUUAGGCUUCAAAAAUUUUUCAAAUGUUCAUGAAUUUAAAAAAGACCUUGAAACGCUGGGAGAAAAGGUUGGGUGAAGAGAGUUGAUGGCCUACAAAGAUGAGUAAUUGACAAUUACUCUAAUAACUUUAUGUUUUAUGCUAUUAUUAACAAGACUAUCCUUGAACAAAACCAUUACCUCAUUCAAUAAACAAUUACUGAAUGCCUUCAAGGCAGCAGACCUUUGCACUCAACAGGAUAGCUGAGCUAGAUCCUUUAAUUGUGGUGCAGCCAGCUUUACAGAGCAGAAGUAGAAAGACUAGAAACAAGACUGCUUCUGCCCCCUUCAAGAUUAGAAUCUUAGCACCUCCCUAACUCUGCCCUUUAUGUGUUUUUGAAUUUCAUUCAGUGGGUUAAGCAAAAUACUUGUCCAAGGCUCUUAGCCAUGAUGCCUAAAACCUGGUUUGUUGAAUUUCCAUUUCUACUGGAAACAUGGUCACUGCUGUUUUUAACAAAUUUUCAAAUAACAUUGUUUCCACUAUAGAAACAAAGUGGUCUCAUCUACUAAAAUGAGCUCUUGCAGUAUCCCCAUUUUCAAAUAACUGUUCAAAGAAUCAGCUUCCAUUAGGAAGUGAGUGGUCUCCCAUGAAUGAAAUGUCUCCUAAUAUGGAACUAGCAUUCUCCACAUAGUAACUAGGUUUUAUUUAAGCAAAGACGAUUGCCAAUAAAAAGCUAAAGCAUCUACUCCCAGCAGUGGAUUUGACUGAAAAACCAGUCUCCAUGCAGAAGGUCCUAUAUUUCAGAAGUUCUCAUGAAACCAGCAUAUGCGCAUCCUUAUCCAUCUGCUAUGAUUAUUAUAUGAUCAUUGGACUCCAGGGCCCAAAUUUUACGCAAUCAAGGAGCCUAUGACUCAAGAGCAGAAAUUGUUGAGUGCUACUGAGAAAAAAA